rnacentral:rRNA from 1 species
CCUUCCGUAGGUGAACCUGCGGAAGGAUCAUUAU